rnacentral:rRNA from 1 species
AGGAUGAACGCUGGCGGCGUGCCUAAUACAUGCAAGUCGAACGAGGUGCUUUUGUAGCAAUACGAGAGUAUCCUAGUGGCGAACGGGUGAGUAACGCGUUGGUGACCUACCCCAAAGUGUGGAAUAACAGUCCGAAAGGAUUGCUAAUACCGCAUGUGGUUAUCGGGCUUAGAAACUGAUAACUAAAGGAGCAAUUCGCUUUGGGAGGGACCUGCGUCCCAUCAGCUAGUUGGUGAGGUAACGGCUCACCAAGGCUACGACGGGUAGGGGACCUGAGAGGGUCGACCCCCCACAAUGGAACUGAAACACGGUCCAUACACCUACGGGUGGCAGCAGUAGGAAUAUGCACAAUGGGCGAAAGCCUGAUGCAGCAACGCGCGUGUGCGAAUGAAAGGCCUUCGGGGUACCGUAAAGCAACUUUUUCGAGAGAGAUGAAGAAAGGACAGUAUCUACAAGGAAUAAAGUCUACGGACUAACGUAACGUGACCAAGCCAAGCCCGGAGGUAAUCGUAGGACGGUCGGGACUUA